CCUACGGGAGGCAGCAGUAGGGAAUCUUUCACAAUGGGCGAAAGCCUGAUGGAGCAACGCCGCGUGCAGGAUGAAGGCCUUCGGGUUGUAAACUGCUUUUAUAAGCGAGAAAUAUGAUGGUAACUUAUGAAUAAGGAUCGGCUAACUACGUGCCAGCAGCCGCGGUCAUACGUAGGAUCCGAGCAUUGUCCGGAGUGACUGGGUGUAAAGAGUUGCGUAGGUGGCAUAAUAAGUAGCUAGUGAAAUCUGGUGGCGCAACCAUUCAGACUAUUAGCUAAACUGUUAAGCUCGAGACCGUUAGGGGUAACUGGAAUUUCUAGUGUAGGAGUGAAAUCCGUAGAUAUUAGAAGGAACACCAAUAGCGUAGGCAGGUUGCUGGGACGGUUCUGACACUAAGGCACGAAAGCGUAGGGAGCAAACGGGAUUAGAUACCCCUGUAGUC
rnacentral:rRNA from 1 species